AACGAACGCUGGCGGCAUGCCUAACACAUGCAAGUCGAACGAGACCUUCGGGUCUAGUGGCGCACGGGUGCGUAACGCGUGGGAACCUGCCCUUGGGUUCGGUAUAACUCCCCGAAAGGGGUGCUAAUACCGGAUAAUGUCUUCGGACCAAAGAUGUAUGGCCUUUGGAUGGGCCCGCGUUGGAUUCGCUAGUUGGUAGGGUAAAAGCCUACCAACGGGACGAUGCAUAGCUGGUCUGUUAGGAUGAUCAGCCACACUGGGACUGAGACACGGACCAGACUCCUACGGGAGGCAGCAGUGGGGAAUAUUGUACAAUGAGCGAAAGCCUGAUCCAGCAGUGCCGCGGGAGUGAUGAAGGCCUUAGGGUUGUAAAGCUCUUUUACACGGGAUGAUAAUGACAGUACCGGGAGAAUAAGCUCCGGCUAACUCCGUG
rnacentral:rRNA from 1 species